UACGUAGGGCGCAAGCGUUGUCCGGAAUCAUUGGGCGUAAAGAGCUCGUAGGCAGCCUGUUGCGUCCGCUGUGAAAGCCCCGGGCUUAACCUGGGAACUGCGUUUGAUACGGAUGGGCUAGAGUUCGGGAGAGGAGAGUGGAAUUCCCAGUGUAGAGGUGAAAUUCGUGGAUAUUGGGAAGAACACCGGUGGCGAGGGCGGCUCUCUGGACCGAGACUGACGCUGAGGCGCGAAAGCGUGGGGAGCAAACAGG
rnacentral:rRNA from 1 species